GUGUAGGCCCAGCAGUUCCCUCCUAUCCCUUGCAGCAUAUACCACAGCUGGCUUUGAACAGAGAUUUUGACAGGCUGCCAACAUUUCCCCGUGGCUUUACAAAGCAGGGAAAGGAAGUGACAACAAAUCUACAUGGACCGUAGCCAGAUGAAACAACAGUACUUCGCUAAGUGAUGGCAAUUACCCCUCCUGAGUAUCAAAGUCCUCUGCUGCAAGAACAGAGAGGUAUGAGAGCUUCUAUGAAGGACAUGGGGAGGAUAUUUUCAUAGUCUACAGCACACAGGAAGCAUUUCAAGAUUUUUUACCUCUCCUUAUGAGACUCAGGCCUGUAGCUCAGGACAAAGAGUGCUAUAAAGAUUCUAGGCUCUGCAGCAACCUACAUGCAAAUGAGGCAAGUCUACCAUACAACAGCCUCUGGACUGGCUAACCUCAUGUCUGAUGCACUACCAGCUCCUGUAGAAGUGAAGAAACCAGAUAAAGCAACUGAAAAGCCUGGUGACUGAAAACCUCUUGUGUUUCCCCCUUCUCCUGCUGGGAUACUUCUCUAUUAAUCUGGCUUUCUUGGAAGACGCCACAGGAUGGGAGUACUCAAAGACUGUUUUAUUUCAACUAAAGCUAAAACUAUUAGAUUUUGUUAAACCAAUGCAAGCUUUUAUUUGAACACACUUAAAUGAGCUAAGUGAUUUCUAUUAAAUGUAAUUUUGUAAAAUCAAGAAUUUUUUUAGUUAAACCAGUGAAAAUUGCAUGCAUAGAUCAAGCCCAGGAAACAUUCUGAACUGCAUCUGUAGUCAGAAAAGUUUAUGUAAAUAUGGCACUCUGAUUCACUGGAUCUACUCAUUACGGCUUUAAUAAGAGUCACAUCUGCCUAAGCUUAGUAACUAAAAUGAUUUAAUGCAUUCUAUUUUAGUUGACUUAUUAACAGAGUUCUUAACUAUAUACCAAUCACAGAAUCAUUACUGGCCAUGGCACGAGUCACAAAACAACUUAAUGCAAUUCCAAGAUACCACAUAACUUUUCAGGUUCAGCAAUGGAAGAACUUUUGAUUUAUAACCCAUAAACCCAUAGCAAAGCAAAUGAUAUCUCCUGCUAGGCAGAGAGAUCUAGAUAUAUGCCAGUCACCUUAAGUCUGCUGUGGAGAAUUGCUGGAAAACAGCUUAGGGAGGACAUGGACAUUAAUGAAGAAUACUGAGACUCAGUUCCUAAGCCUGAGGGCACAGACAGAAGUGCAGCUCUCUGCUAUAACAGAACCUUUUGUAGGAAGCGUUCUGAGUUACAACAAUUCCCCAGACCAAACAGAAAUUCACUGUUGAUUCCAGAGGGGAGGGGAAUCUAGCAGCUGGCUGUGAGCCUGCAGCUGGUUUGCAACAGCCCCCUCCUUCCCGCCAGCUUUCUGCCAGCCACUGCUGGUUUCAGAAUGGGAGGGAGGAAAGGGAGCAGAGGGAGCCUGUUCUAGGGUUUCCCAGACAGCCUUGGAGGGUAGGGUGGGUGAAUU